rnacentral:rRNA from 1 species
AUUGAACGCUGGCGGCAGGCCUAACACAUGCAAGUCGAGCGGAUGAAGGGAGCUUGCUCCUGGAUUCAGCGGCGGACGGGUGAGUAAUGCCUAGGAAUCUGCCUGGUAGUGGGGGAUAACGUCCGGAAACGGGCGCUAAUACCGCAUACGUCCUGAGGGAGAAAGUGGGGGAUCUUCGGACCUCACGCUAUCAGAUGAGCCUAGGUCGGAUUAGCUAGUUGGUGGGGUAAAGGCCUACCAAGGCGACGAUCCGUAACUGGUCUGAGAGGAUGAUCAGUCGCACUGGAACUGAGACACGGUCCAGACUCCUACGGGAGGCAGCAGUGGGGAAUAUUGGACGAUAGGCGAAAGCCUGAUCCAGCCAUGCCGCGUGUGUGAAGAAGGUCUUCGGAUUGUAAAACACUUUAAGUUGGGAGGAAGGGCAGUAAGUUAAUACCUUGCUGUUUUGACGUUACCAACAGAAUAAGCACCGGCUAACUUCGUG